CACUGGUGGCAGAGGAAACAUAGGAAAAUUUGAAUCUAGAACCUUCAGAAAUUUUUCUACUGAAAAAUGGGGAAGGCAUCAUGAAAUGAGAAAGAUGGAGGUGGAAGGUGGAAUUAAUUAAAAUUAUUCAUUAGGAAUGUGGACCAUACCAAAGAUCUACCAUCUUAUCAGGUAAUUGAUGGUUGAUCAAUUGAUUGGUUGAGAGUGAGUGUGGAAUUGAAGCAUAAACCAGUUAGUUAUACCCAG
rnacentral:lncRNA from 1 species